CGGUAUGCUUAACACAUGCAAGUCGAACGAAUUCCUUAGGGAAUUAGUGGCGGACGGGUGAGUAACACGUGAGAACCUACCUUCAGAAUGGGGAUAACAGUUGGAAACGGCUGCUAAUACCCGAUGUGCCGAGAGGUGAAAGAUUUAUCGUCUGAAGAAGGGCUCGCGGCUGAUUAGCUAGUUGGUAGGGUAAAGGCUUACCAAGGCAACGAUCAGUAACUGGUCUGAGAGGAUGAGCAGUCACACUGGAACUGAGAAACGGUCCAGACUCC
rnacentral:rRNA from 1 species